UACGUAGGGGGCUAGCGUUGUCCGGAUUUAUUGGGCGUAAAGAGCGUGUAGGCGGCCAUGUAGGUCCGGUGUGAAAACUCGAGGCUUAACCUCGAGAUGUCAUCGGAAACCAUUUGGCUAGAGUCCGGAAGAGGAGAGUGGAAUUCCUGGUGUAGCGGUGAAAUGCGCAGAUAUCAGGAAGAACACCAAUGGCGAAAGCAGCUCUCUGGGACGGUACUGACGCUGAGACGCGAAAGCGUUGGGAGCGAACAGG
rnacentral:rRNA from 1 species